UGGAAAAUAACAUCUAAUAAACAUUUGUUCAGGGCAUGACAGUGAGGAAAUGAAUCUGGGCUGGCCAUACCUGUGUCUCAACCAAAUGGCACAGAGCAGGCACACACGGCCAGGAAGGUGAAUGCUGCAUCUGGGUCCGUCAGACACCGUGGAGCUGGUUGCCCCUGACGACAUGAACUCCUUGAUUCCGGAAUGAGAGGACCAUGGAGAACUCGACCAAAGCCCAGUGACAAUCUCCUUGUGAGUCGUUGGUUCUACUG
rnacentral:lncRNA from 12 species